AACUUCUGAAUGUUGACCUCGGAUCAGGUAGGAAUACCCGCUGAACUUAAGCAUAUCAAUAAGCGGGAGGAAAAGAAACCAACAGGGAUUGCCCUUGUUACGACUUU
rnacentral:rRNA from 1 species